CCUACGGGCGGCUGCAGUGAGGAAUAUUGGUCAAUGCACGAGAGUCUGAACCAGCCAAGUAGCGUGAAGGAUGACUGCCCUAUGGGUUGUAAACUUCUUUUAUAUGGGAAUAAAACGUUCCACGUGUGGGAUUUUGUAUGUACCAUAUGAAUAAGGAUCGGCUAACUCCGUGCCAGCAGCCGCGGUAAUACGGAGGAUCCGAGCGUUAUCCGGAUUUAUUGGGUUUAAAGGGAGCGUAGGUGGAUUGUUAAGUCAGUUGUGAAAGUUUGCGGCUCAACCGUAAAAUUGCAGUUGAAACUGGCAGUCUUGAGUACAGUAGAGGUGGGCGGAAUUCGUGGUGUAGCGGUGAAAUGCUUAGAUAUCACGAAGAACUCCGAUUGCGAAGGCAGUUCACUGGACUGCAACUGACACUGAGGCUCGAAAGUGUGGGUAUCAAACAGGAUUAGAUACCCCUGUAGUC
rnacentral:rRNA from 1 species